UUGGCUUCUCUUGAUUGAAUUGUGCCUGCGAGCCUCUAUAGGUCGUGGGCUACUGCAAGAACGGAAGCAAAAAAGAUUUGUUCCUCUCGCUAUCCAGCGCGGAAAUUCUUGCGAUGCGAUUGGACGUCGAGGAACUACACUC